CCCCAGACUCCUACGGGAGGCAGCAGUGGGGAAUAUUGCACAAUGGGGGAAACCCUGAUGCAGCGACGCCGCGUGAGUGAAGAAGUAUUUCGGUAUGUAAAGCUCUAUCAGCAGGGAAGAAGUUGACGGUACCUGAGUAAGAAGCCCCGGCUAACUACGUGCCAGCAGCCGCGGUAAUACGUAGGGGGCAAGCGUUAUCCGGAUUUACUGGGUGUAAAGGGAGCGUAGACGGCAGUGCAAGUCUGAAGUGGAAGCCCCGGGGUUAACCCGGGAAUUGCUUUGGAAACUGUACGGCUGGAGUGCUGGAGAGGUAAGCGGAAUUCCUAGUGUAGCGGUGAAAUGCGUAGAUAUUAGGAGGGACACCAGUGGCGAAGGCGGCUUACUGGACAGUAACUGACGUUGAGGCUCGAAAGCGUGGGGAGCAAACAGGAUUAGAUACCCCAGUAAC
rnacentral:rRNA from 1 species